GCCUUUGCAGACAGCAGUUCUCUCCAACAACAUAAAAGAACACACACAGGAGAGAAACCCUAUGAAUGUAACCAAUGUGGCAAAGCCUUUGUACGCAGCAGGACUCUCCAAAGACAUAUAAGAACACACAGAGAAGAGAAGCCCUAUGAGUGUAACGAAUGUGGCAAAGCCUUUGCACAAAGGAGUAAUCUCAAAAGACAUUAAAGAACAUAUAAUUGAGAAAAACCUUAUGAAUUAACCAGUGUUGCAAACCCUUUGUAAAAUGUGGUGAU
rnacentral:lncRNA from 1 species